UUUCAUUAUUGACUUUUGUAACAGUUUGUAGUAUAGGAAUUUUUAAUAGGGCGUGUGCCCUACUCAUUGUAGUUAGUAGUGUGCUAGAUAGAAUAUGAAAAUGAAAUACACCCACCCCUUUCGAGGGCGCGAGCCGCACGCCGAGCCCCACGCGGAGCUAGUAGUUUUAGUGUUGGUUUGGGGCGCGCUUAUCUUCGACAAACUGACAAGAGCACGCGGCUGUGUAUCAAAUCAUAGGUCAAAACUUAAAAGACUGAACGGAUUUUUUUUUAAUUAUAUGUAGUUAGUAUAACGUCCUCAAGCCGAGAAAUGCAACCAAAACACGAUAUAACACAGUGAUCUUUGGAGUAAACGGACAAACAUUGCUGAUAAUGUAAUUUCUUUCAAGAGUGUACUCGUUAAUUACCUAACCGCAAUUUUGUUAGAAAACUCCAGUGCCGAGGUGUACCUAAUGCGAAAUUUUUAUGAGAAAUAGCUGUGCUUAAAAAGUUUCAUUUCUUUCAACUUACCUGAUCAUGUUAUACAAGAUCGUAGUUGUGUUUUUGUGUGUCCAACUGUUGCAGAGAUUAGUGUCCACUCAUAAAAGUGUGUCUUU